rnacentral:other from 1 species
AUUAAAAUCAGACUGAUUUGGAAUGGAAAC